ensembl:piRNA 21ur-245 ncRNA
CACGAACUGAAACUACAUUUU